GACGAACGCUGGCGGCGUGCUUAACACAUGCAAGUCGAACGGAAAGGCCCUGCUUUUGUGGGGUGCUCGAGUGGCGAACGGGUGAGUAACACGUGAGUAACCUGCCCUUGACUUUGGGAUAACUUCAGGAAACUGGGGCUAAUACCGGAUAGGAGCUCCUGCUGCAUGGUGGGGGUUGGAAAGUUUCGGCGGUUGGGGAUGGACUCGCGGCUUAUCAGCGUGUUGGUGGGGUAGUGGCUUACCAAGGCUUUGACGGGUAGCCGGCCUGAGAGGGUGACCGGCCACAUUGGGACUGAGAUACGGCCCAGACUCCUACGGGAGGCAGCAGUGGGGAAUAUUGCACAAUGGGCGGAAGCCUGAUGCAGCAACGCCGCGUGCGGGAUGACGGCCUUCAGGUUGUAAACCGCUUUCGCCUGUGACGAAGCGUGAGUGACGGUAAUGGGUAAAGAAGCACCGGCUAACUACGUG
rnacentral:rRNA from 1 species